rnacentral:rRNA from 1 species
AACGAACGCUGGCGGCGCGCCUAAUACAUGCAAGUCGAGCGAGAAGACGUAGCAAUACGUUUGUAAAGCGGCGAACGGGUGAGGAAUACAUGGGUAACCUACCCUCGAGUGGGGAAUAACUAGCCGAAAGGUUAGCUAAUACCGCAUACGGCUCCUGGUCUGCGGAUCAGGAGAGAAAGCGAUACCAUGGGUAUCGCGCUCUUGGAUGGGCUCAUGUCCUAUCAGCUUGUUGGUGAGGUAAUGGCUCACCAAGGCUUCGACGGGUAGCUGGUCUGAGAGGACGAUCAGCCACACUGGCACUGCGACACGGGCCAGACUCCUACGGGAGGCUG